rnacentral:lncRNA from 1 species
GUCUCACUCUGUUGCCCAGGCUGGAAUGCAGUGCUGCCAUCUCGGCUCACUGCAACCUCCACCUCCCAGUUCAAGAGAUUCUUCUGCCUCAGCCUCCUGAGUAGCUGGGAUUGCAGGCAUGUGCCACCACACCUGGCUAAUUUUUGUAUUUUUAAUAGAGAUGGCGUUUCACCUUGUUGGCCAAGCUGGUCUCGCACUCCUGACCUCAGGCGAUCUGCCCACGUUGGUCUCCCAAAGUGCUGGGAUUAUAGGCGUGAGCCCCGGGCCCAGCCUGGAAGGACUUCUCUUGCAGCUCCUCUUCCUGCCCCCGCAGAUCCCUACAAAUCUACGUCUGAGCAUGGACGGAAUCCCAGAAUCAAAUCACUGGAUCAAUACUUGGUCACCAAACACAUUCGAGACCUCAAAAGCUCAAAGGCUGUAGGGUAGGUACCCUUGCUACCUACUCUACCUACAGACAAAGACGCUGAGAAAUCAGAUAACUUGUCCAAGGUCAUGGACAGCUGGGACUAGACCCAUGGCUUGUCACACUCUACCAGCCUUAUUCUUAACCUCUCUGCCUGAUGCCUCUUGACCCACAUUCGACUUUGAAAAAGUUUUCGCACUUGGUUCAUCGGAAAAAGCCACACACAGCUGCCCGGAGGACUCUGUUAAUCAGUAGCUGGUUGCUUCUGGCCCAGUGGGCAACAUCAGAGGCAGAAAGUACAGUACAGAGAGAACCGCAGGCCAGCAGUUGCAUCUGAACCCACGCUCUUCCUCCCAGCCCUUUCCCUUGUCUUGACUCACAACCUAGUGUCCUCAGUAUCGCCCAGCACGUGAGGCAGCCGGUUCACUCCAGCCUUGACCAGGGCCAUCGCGGGAUCAGAGCCUCCUCUGUGAGAAUUAGAAAACAGUAUCUCUUCCUCAAGACCCUUGACUGCUAGGAAAUUGACACCAAAAACAUACAAAUCUACAAUGUCCAGUAUGUAGGUGAUGUGAAUGGCUGUCUCUUCAGUGUGCAGUGUGUACACCCUGCGCACCUAUACAAGGCAGCCCUGUCCAGGCCUCCAGACGUCCCAGUGCCACUGCCUGCUGUCAUGGGGUUCUAAUCUAAAGGGUGAGAUGCCAGUCCCGGGAGAAGGCUAAUGAUGAAAGGUUCCAGGAUAAAGGUUAAUAUACAAAAGUCAAUUACUUUCCUAAUGCCAGCAAUAAAGUGGAAUUUGAAAGUAAAAACAUAUUACCAUUUACAUUAGCAUCCCUCAGAAUUAAGGCCAGGCACAGUGGUUCACACCUGUAAUCCCAGAGUUUGGGAAACUGAGGCAGGUGGAUCACUUGAGGUCAGGAGUUUGAGACCAGCCUGGCCAACAUGGUGAAACACCAUCUCUACUAAAAAUACAAAAAUUAGCUGGGUGUGGUAUGUGUGUCUGUAGUCCCAGCUACUUGGGAGGCUGAGGCACAAGAAUCACUUGAACCCAGGAGGCAGAAGUUGUGGUGAGCCUAGUUCACGCCAUGGCACUGCAGCCUGGGUGACAGGGAGAGAAUCUGUCUCAAAAAAAGAAAUGCCUAGGUAUAAAUCUCACAAAAUAUGUACAAGAUCAGAGGAAAAUGAUAAAGCUCUGAUGAAAGGAAUCAAAGAACAACUAAAUAAAUAGAGAAAUAAUCCAUGUUCAUGGAUAGGAGACUCAAUAUUGUGAACUGAGCC